GAUGAAGAACGUAGCGAAAUGCGAUAAGUAAUGUGAAUUGCAGAAUUCAGUGAAUCAUCGAAUCUUUGAACGCACAUUGCGCCCGCCAGUAUUCUGGCGGGCAUGCCUGUUCGAGCGUCAUUUCAACCAUCAAGCCCUGCUUGCGUUGGGGUCCUGCGGCUGCCCGCAGGCCCUGAAAACCAGUGGCGGGCUCGCUAGUCACACCGAGCGCAGUAAUACAUCUCGCUUUGGGCGUGCGGCGGGUUCUUGCCGUUAAACACCCCCUUUUUACCAAGGUUGACCUCUGAUCAGGUAGGAAUACCCGCUGAACUUAAGCAUAUCAAUAAGCGGAGGA
rnacentral:misc_RNA from 1 species